ACGCAAAGUCGGCGCCUCCGCGAAGGGUGACUUGCAAAUAAUUGCGGUAAAUAUCCCGAUCGGUAGUUAGUCAAAUUUUUGGCCGUUUUCUUCGCUUCGCCCUUGACAUUUUUCGACGAGGAUCGGCACUUUUUCGCCAACCGUCCACCUUCCUCGCGUAUAAAAAGAACCUCCGCUGAGAGCAGACCAUCAAAUCUUCUGUGACUUUCGUGCUUAGUGCUUCAACGAUCCUCAAAACACAAUCACCAUGUUCAAGCUGUUGGCUGUCCUUUGCUCCCUCCUGGUUGCGGCUUUCGCUGCCUACAUCCCGGCCGCCCCCGCCUACUACGGCGCCUACCCUUACGCCGCCCCGGUGGCCCGGUCGCCUACCGCUACCCGGCCCCCGUUACCAUGCCCCCAUCGCCGCCCCCGCCUACGUACCCCCAGUCCGCUACGCCCCCUACCCCGCCGUCCCAGCUGUCAGCUACGUCGCCCACAAGUGAAUUGAUACACUUCAAUGAACCAACGCUGGCUGCCUUUAUGCUUCAUGUCAUCACACCCUAGUUACCAUGGUCUCAACUUUUGAAGACCAUCAUCAAACAAUUCAUCUUUCGAGCCAACUUCAAUUUUGUAAAAAUUCAUAAUGCAUCAAAUACAUUUUCAUCUCCUGACUGAAUCAUUUGUUAGUUGUGUUUUUUUCGAAAUGGAUUGGAAGCAUUGAAAGCACCCUAAAAAAAUAACAAUACCUAAACAUUCUGUUUAAGUGAGUACUUCAGAGCAUGAAAAUUACACGUUUAGAAGCUUAUAUGGACCGCGUUAAACAGAAAGGAACCAAGCCACAUCAGCUAUUGCCAAAUUUAAUUGGGCAAUUUAAUAUUUUACAUGAAAACGGUUGUGCAGAUUUUCGUGCAAAUUUCAGUGAAAAUUCUCCUUG
rnacentral:lncRNA from 1 species